GUCAUACUUUUAUAGGUAGAACUAUAACAGCAUACUACAUGCUACAAUUAAUACUUGUGGUAAAAUAUCAGUUAGAGAAAACCAUACACAUGAAUUAAGCUUUAAACGUUAAAGGUAAACAAGGAUUAGAUACCCUUCUAUAUAAACGCCUACUUAAAUAUGCCGAGUACUACAACUUGAAGAGUUAAAACUCAAACAACAUGGCGGUAAUUUCAAUUUAGGGGAACUUACCUAGUAAAUGAUAACCACCAAGGUUUUAUAACUAUAGGACAUUCUUGUAUGCCGUCGUCGUCAGGUAACACUCAAUGUUUUACCUUAAUAAAAAUACUUAAAAAGACAGAUCAAGGUGCAGACAAUCCUACAGAUAAGGCGAGUUACAGUUUUAAUUAAUAACAGAUACAUCAUUUAAUCGAAUGUACAAGAAGGACUUAAUAGUAAUGUGAAUUAACUAUACCACGUGAACCCUAGAAAUUGUGCACAA
rnacentral:rRNA from 1 species